rnacentral:rRNA from 1 species
GAUGAACGCUGACAGAAUGCUUAACACAUGCAAGUCUUUGGCGAAGCUGUGCUUGCACAGCCUAGCCAAGGCGGACGGGUGAGUAACGCGUAAGGAACUUGCCCUGCAGUCAGGGAUAACAGACGGAAACGACUGAUAAGACCUGGUAAAGUCAGGCGGACUCAUGUCCAGCCUGAUGAAAAGAGAUGCUGCAGGAGAGCCUUGCGUCCUAUUAGCUUGUUGGUGGGGUAACGGCCCACCAAGGCGAUGAUAGGUAGCCGGCCUGAGAGGGUGGACGGCCACAAGGGGACUGAGAUACGGCCCUUACUCCUACGGGAGGCAGCAGUGGGGAAUAUUGGACAAUGGGGGCAACCCUGAUCCAGCAAUUCUGUGUGAACGAUGAAGGUUUUCGGAUUGUAAAGUGCUUUCAGCAGGGAAGAAAAAAAUGACGGUACCUGCAGAAGAAGCGACGGCUAAAUACGUG